rnacentral:rRNA from 1 species
UACAGAGGUCUCGAGCGUUAGGCGGAAUCACUGGGCUUAAAGCGUGUGUAGGUGGAUCGUUAAGUACCUUGUGAAAUCCCACGGCUUAACCGUGGAACUGCUUGGUAUACUGGCGGUCUUGAGCCAGCUAGGGGCUACCGGAACAAAUGGUGGAGCGGUGAAAUGCGUAGAUAUCAGGAGGAACACCGGUGGCGAAGGCGGGUCUCUGGGCCGACACUGACGCUCAGGCACGAAAGCGUGGGGAGCAAACGGG